rnacentral:misc_RNA from 1 species
GAUGAAGAACGUAGCAAAAUGCGAUAAGUAAUGUGAAUUGCAGAAUUCAGUGAAUCAUCGAAUCUUUGAACGCACAUUGCGCCCGCUGGUACUCCGGCGGGCAUGCCUGUUCGAGCGUCAUUUCAACCCUCAAGCCCCCGGGUUUGGUGUUGGGGAUCGGCUCUGCCCUUCUGGGCGGUGCCGCCCCCGAAAUACAUUGGCGGUCUCGCUGCAGCCUCCAUUGCGUAGUAGCUAACACCUCGCAACUGGAACGCGGCGCGGCCAUGCCGUAAAACCCCAACUUCUGAAUGUUGACCUCGGAUCAGGUAGGAAUACCCGCUGAACUUAAGCAUAUCAAAAGCGGAGGA